rnacentral:rRNA from 1 species
CCUACGGGAGGCAGCAGUGAGGAAUAUUGGUCAAUGGCCGGGAGGCUGAACCAGCCAAGUCGCGUGAGGGAAGACGGCCCUACGGGUUGUAAACCUCUUUUGUCAGGGAGCAAGGUGCAGGUCGGGACCUGCUGUGAGAGUACCUGAAGAAAAAGCAUCGGCUAACUCCGUGCCAGCAGCCGCGGUAAUACGGAGGAUGCGAGCGUUAUCCGGAUUUAUUGGGUUUAAAGGGUGCGCAGGCGGAGGCACAAGUCAGCGGUAAAAUCGCGGGGCUCAACCCCGCGCAGCCGUUGAAACUGGGUGCCUUGAGUGCGCGAAGGGUAGGCGGAAUGCGUGGUGUAGCGGUGAAAUGCAUAGAUAUCACGCAGAACUCCGAUCGCGAAGGCAGCCUACCGGCGCGCAACUGACGCUCAUGCACGAAAGCGUGGGUAUCGAACAGGAUUAGAUACCCGAGUAGUC